UCCUGAAGUUAUGUUAUACAGAAAAUAGUUAUUUCUAGCUGCCUGUGUGUUACACUACUUACAGUAUCUUGUAUAUGCAAUGUAAACACUGUCCUGAAGUUAUGUGAAUAGAAAAUAGUUAUCUAGCUGCCUGUGUGUUACACUACUUUCAGUAUCUUGUAUAUGCAAUGUAAACACUGUCCUGAAGUUAUGUUAUACAGAAAAUAGUUAUUUAGCUGCCUGUGUGUUACACUACUUACAGUAUCUUGUAUAUGCAAUGUAAACAUUGUCCUGAAGAUAUGUGAAUAGAAAAUAGUUAUCUAGCUGCCUGUGUGUUACACUACUUACAGUAUCUUGUAUAUGCAAUGUAAACACUGUCCUGAAGUUAUGUUAUACAGGAAAUAGUUAUUUGUUUAAGAUUAAGACUGAUUACAGGUAGACAAGCUACCAUUCACAGUAAUGUAACAGUGCUGCAGUGAGAUUUCAAAGUUAGGGGUAUUGGACAAGAGAUAAAUAUGAUUUUCAUUGGUAAAAGAAUGUAUAGCAUACAAAGUGCUGUAUUCAGAUAAUGAAUUAUUACCUUUUACAUGAGUUAGAAAUAUUUAGAGAUUUAAAUAUGAUUUUCAAUGGUAAAAGAAGUACAUAUAGCAUAAGUUUGUAUUAAUUGAGUAAUCAAGUGAUUUAUGCAAGAAAUAUAGCUUGUUUCUUAAAUACAAAACAAUACCUGUAAGUAAGUUCAGUAUGUUUAAAAGAGAUGAAACUUUGAAUUGCAAUUUUUUUUUAAAAG